AGCUUUUCGAAUCCAACCCGAGGUUUUGUCAGAUGCCAACCCAGUAGGAUUGAUGAAACUUCCUAGAUAAGUGAAGUA
rnacentral:pre_miRNA from 1 species